CCCUUAGAUGUUCUGGGCCGCACGCGCGCUACACUGAUGCAUUCAACGAGUUUCUUCCUGGUCCGAGAGGAAUGGGUAACCUUUUGAAAGUGCAUCGUGAUAGGGAUAGACUAUUGCAAUUAUUGGUCUUCUACGAGGAAUUCCUAGUAGACGUAGUUCAUCAGACUGCAUCGAUUACGUCCCUGCCCUUUGUACACACCGCCCGUCGCUCCUACCGAUUGAAUGCUCAGGUGAGCCAUUCGGACUUUCAUCAUGCUGGUUUCCAGUUUUGAUGAAGGAAAGUCUUGCGAACCUUAUCAUUUAGAGGAAGGAGAAGUCGUAACA
rnacentral:rRNA from 1 species